rnacentral:rRNA from 1 species
GACGGACGCUGGCGGCGUGCUUAACACAUGCAAGUCGAACGGAAAGGCCCCAGCUUGCUGGGGUACUCGAGUGGCGAACGGGUGAGUAACACGUGGGUGAUCUGCCCUGCACUCUGGGAUAAGCCUGGGAAACUGGGUCUAAUACCGGAUAGGACCGUGCUUUAGUGUGUGCGGUGGAAAGUUUUUCGGUGCAGGAUGAGCCCGCGGCCUAUCAGCUUGUUGGUGGGGUAAUGGCCUACCAAGGCGGCGACGGGUAGCCGGCCUGAGAGGGUGUACGGCCACAUUGGGACUGGGACACGGCCCAGACUCCUACGGGAGGCAGCAGUGGGGAAUAUUGCACAAUGGGCGCAAGCCUGAUGCAGCGACGCCGCGUGGGGGAUGACGGCCUUCGGGUUGUAAACCCCUUUCGGCAGGGACGAAGCUUUUGUGACGGUACCUGCAUAAGAAGCACCGGCUAACUACGUG